AAAGGCACGUGUCGUUGGCUAAGCCCUCGCGGCGGACGAGCCGCGCGGGCCGCCUUGAAUUACAAUUUCCACCGGGCGGCGGACUGAAUCCUUUGCAGACGACUUAAAUACGCGACGGGGUAUUGUAAGUGGCAGAGUGGCCUUGCUGCCACGAUCCACUGAGAUUCAGCCCUUCGUCGCUCCGAUUCGU
rnacentral:ncRNA from 1 species